rnacentral:rRNA from 1 species
GUGAGCUUGCUCAUGGAUUCAGCGGCGGACGGGUGAGUAAUGCCUAUGAAUCUGCCUGGUAGUGGGGGACAACGUUUCGAAAGGAACGCUAAUACCGCAUACGUCCUACGGGAGAAAGCAGGGGACCUUCGGGCCUUGCGCUAUCAGAUGAGCCUAGGUCGGAUUAGCUAGUUGGUGAGGUAAUGGCUCACCAAGGCUACGAUCCGUAACUGGUCUGAGAGGAUGAUCAGUCACACUGGAACUGAGACACGGUCCAGACUACUACGGGAGGCAGCAGUGGGGAAUAUUGGACAAUGGGCGAAAGCCUGAUCCAGCCAUGCCGCGUGUGUGAAGAAGGUCUUCGGAUUGUAAAGCACUUUAAGUUGGGAGGAAGGGUUGUAGAUUAAUACUCUGCAAUUUUGACGUUACCGACAGAAUAAGCACCGGCUAACUCUGUGCCAGCAGCCGCGGUAAUACAGAGGGUGCAAGCGUUAAUCGGAAUUACUGGGCGUAAAGCGCGCGUAGGUGGUUCGUUAAGUUGGAUGUGAAAUCCCCGGGCUCAACCUGGGAACUGCAUCCAAAACUGGCGAGCUAGAGUAUGGUAGAGGGUGGUGGAAUUUCCUGUGUAGCGGUGAAAUGCGUAGAUAUAGGAAGGAACACCAGUGGCGAAGGCGACCACCUGGACUGAUACUGACACUGAGGUGCGAAAGCGUGGGGAGCAAACAGGAUUAGAUACCCUGGUAGUCCACGCCGUAAACGAUGUCAACUAGCCGUUGGGAGCCUUGAGCUCUUAGUGGCGCAGCUAACGCAUUAAGUUGACCGCCUGGGGAGUACGGCCGCAAGGUUAAAACUUAAAUUAAUUGACGGGGGCCCGCACAAGCGGUGGAGCAUGAGGUUAAUUCGAAGCAACGCGAAGAACCUACGCAGGCCUUGACAUCCAAUGAACUUUCCAGAGAUGGAUUGGUGCGCUCGGGAACAU